AGCAGCCGCGGUAAUUCCAGCUCCAAUAGCGUAUAUUAAAGUUGUUGCAGUUAAAAAGCUCGUAGUUGAAUUUCGGGGUUAGUAGAUUGGUCAUGCCACUGGUAUGUACUUGUCUUACUGAUUCCUCCUUCCUGAUGAACCGUAAUGCCAUUAACUUGGUGUUGCGGGGAGACUGGAACUGUUACUUUGAAAAAAUUAGAGUGUUUAAAGCAGGCUAACGCUUGAAUACAUUAGCAUGGAAUAAUGAAAUAGGACGUUCGAUCCUAUUUUGUUGGUUUCUAGGAUUGACGUAAUGAUUAAUAGGGAUAGUUGGGGGCAUUAGUAUUCAAUUGUCAGAGGUGAAAUUCUUGGAUUUAUUGAAGACUAACUACUGCGAAAGCAUUUGCCAAGGAUGUUUUCAUUAAUCAAGAACGAAAGUUAGGGGAUCGAAGACGAUCAGAUACCGUCGUA
rnacentral:rRNA from 1 species